rnacentral:lncRNA from 1 species
CAGGGUCAGGUGCCCAUUCCUACCUAAUCAAAGGACACUUCUGCUGACCUGCACCUAGAAUACCCUGUUCUGUGCUGAUGACUCAGAUGUAAGAAUGAUGAAGUGCAUCAGUUGGCAUGCAGAGAACAAUAAGAAAAAGAACUGAGUUGUGGGAAGACAUGAGGAAAGGACAUGAGGCUCUUAAUAACAGCUGCCAAGUACUGCAGUCGGGAAUCUGGAGCAAAGUGAUUCAAUUCUGACCACUGCCUGUGAGUAAAUGGGAUUUUAUUUUUCAAUACUUUUGUUUAAUAUUACCUCCUUCAUUACAUGUGAACAGCACUCCAGGACAGUAAAUCAUGAAAUGGGAAUAAAG